UUCCUAGCUCAGCUGGUAGAGCAUGAGACUCUUAAUCUCAGGGUUGUGGUUUCAAGCCCUGUAAGCAAAA